GAUGAACGCUGGCGGCGUGCCUAAUACAUGCAAGUCGAGCGAAUGGAUUAAGAGCUUGCUCUUAUGAAGUUAGCGGCGGACGGGUGAGUAACACGUGGGCAACCUGCCCAUAAGACUGGGAUAACUCCGGGAAACCGGGGCUAAUACCGGAUAACAUUUUGAACCGCAUGGUUCGAAAUUGAAAGGCGGCUUCGGCUGUCACUUAUGGAUGGACCCGCGUCGCAUUAGCUAGUUGGUGAGGUAACGGCUCACCAAGGCAACGAUGCGUAGCCGACCUGAGAGGGUGAUCCGCCACGCUGGGACUGAGACACGGCCCAGACUCCUACGGGAGGCAGCAGGAGGGAAUCUUCCGCAAUGGACGAAAGUCUGACGGAGCAACGCCGCGUGAAUGAUGAAGGCUUUCGGGUCGUAAAACUCUGUUGUUAGGGCAGAACAAGUGCUAGUUGAAUAAGCUGGCACCUUGACGGUACCUAACCAGAAAGCCACGGCUAACUACGUGCCAGCCGCCGCGGUAA
rnacentral:rRNA from 1 species